GUCUUUUUGGGAUAAUAAAAAGUCUGGCCUGCCCACUGAGUUUUGAAGGGCUGCGGUAUUUUGACCGUACUAAGGUAGCAUAAUCAUUAGUUUUUUAAUUGAAAGCUGGAAUGAAUGGUUGGAUGAAAAAAUAACUGUCUCAAAUUUAUUUUAAUGAAUUUUAUUUUUAAGUAAAAAAGCUUAAAUAAUUUUAAAAGACGAGAAGACCCUAUAGAGUUUAAUAUAGAUUGUUUAUUAUUAGAAUUAAUUAUAAUAAGUAUAUUUGAUUGGGGUGAUUGAAAAAUUAAGAAAACUUUUUUUUAUUAAUAACAUAGAUUUAUGAAAGUAUGAUCCAUUAUUUAUGAUUAAAAGAUUAAAUUACCUUAGGGAUAACAGCGUAAUUUUUUUAGAGAGUUCAAAUCGAUAAAAAAGAUUGCGACCUCGAUGUUGGAUUAAAAUAAAUUUUUGGUGUAGAAGCUAAAAAAUUAGGUCUGUUCGACCUUUGAAUUUUUACAUGA
rnacentral:rRNA from 1 species